rnacentral:rRNA from 1 species
CUACGGGAUGCUGCAGUGAGGAAUAUUGCACAAUGGGGGGAACCCUGAUGCAGCAACGCCGCGUGGAGGAUGACGCAUUUCGGUGUGUAAACUCCUUUUAUAUGUCAAGAAAAUGACGGUAGCAUAUGAAUAAGCACCGGCUAACUCCGUGCCAGCAGCCGCGGUAAUACGGAGGGUGCAAGCGUUACUCGGAAUCACUGGGCGUAAAGGACGCGUAGGCGGGCUUGUAAGUCAGGUGUGAAAUCCUACAGCUUAACUGUAGAACUGCACUUGAAACUACGAGCCUAGAGUAUGGGAGGGGGAGAUGGAAUUAGUGGUGUAGGGGUAAAAUCCGUAGAUAUCACUAGGAAUACCUAAAGCGAAGGCGAUCUCCUGGAACAUUACUGACGCUAAGGCGUGAAAGCGUGGGGAGCAAACAGGAUUAGAUACCCGGGUAGUC